GAGAUCCGUUUUCUGAUUUUUUGUGUUUAAGAAGACAAUAUUUUUUUCUUUUGUAGACUUGAAUUAAUGCUGAAUCAAAAGUGGAUGGUUGUUUAUUAGUACAUUUGCAGGUUACAUUUUCAGAUUGUUGAGUUCCUUACAUAUAGCAUUAAGUUGUAAACUUGAAUGCAUAAUUCUGUUUUUUGCAGCAAUGAAGACUUCAUCUGAGACCCAUUUAAAACCGUCACAAUCUGUACAAGUGAGGUUUGAUUUUGCAGUGGGCAGUUUUUGAAGCAAUGACCAGAUUCUCCGCAAGCGUAACAACCAUUCUCUACUGGUAAUUUCACCAUCUUGCAUUUGACAGGAUCGAUGGCAUCGUCAAACCAUUCAAAGUACUGACAGGGCCUAAUUUAUAUGAAUGAAGCUGAAUCUGACCGUUACAAAUCCAACCGUUACAAAUCCGACCGUUGCAAUGAGUCACCGAGUUGACUCGAUACUGGUUUGGUUACGAACUCAGACGAGGGUUAAGUCGUCUUUUACCUAGCAGGUUAACUGCCACGUAGCCAGUUAACUACCUAAAUCCGUUUUUUGAAAAAAACGGGAUGGAAAAUGUCAAUAUCGGCCAGUUUAUAUAAAGAUUCAAA